UACGAAGGGGGCUAGCGUUGCUCGGAAUCACUGGGCGUAAAGGGUGCGUAGGUGGUCGGGUAAGUUUGAUGUGAAAGCUCCGAGCUUAACUCGGAAAUUGCAUUGAAUACUAUUCGGCUAGAGGGUUGGAGGGGGGACUGGAAUUCUCGGUGUAGCAGUGAAAUGCGUAGAUAUCGAGAGGAACACCAGUGGCGAAGGCGAGUCUCUGGGCCGAUACUGACGCUGAGGAGCGAAAGCGUGGGGAGCGAACAGG
rnacentral:rRNA from 1 species